CGACUCACCGAGUUGGUGACUUUUGAUGGGUUUUGGUCAUAAGACAUCCUAUGUGCUCAUACAAACCCUAAUGCUUGGAUCUAGGUUUUUCUAUUGUACAUGCUUUGAAUCCAAGACUAUGAACCCUAAUUCUAGUAUAUAGAAAUCAGAAUUCACAUGUAAAUAGGUUUAAGAACAUACCUUGAUUGUUAUAUAGCAAUAACAAUCCAAUUCCUCCUUCAAUUGACCUUGGAAAGCUGAGAGUCACAAGUGUCACUCCUCUAAUGGCUUACAAACACCAUAAGCAAGUGGAGAAGGUAUAAAGAAAGAGGAGGGAGGUUAGAAUUCGUCCUUAGGACCUCUUGGGAAGGGUUAGACGAAUUCCUAAGCCCUAUGGGGUUUAUAUAGGUGUAAAAAUUAAGGUUUUAGUCCUUAUCCUUAUCUAGUUGCUUGUCCACCAAGCAACCAUAAGAUAAGUCCUAGAAACCCUUAUCCUAGUCGAAUUCUAAGGGAUUUACACCUCAAAUUCGUUCACCAUAUAUAUAAGAUAAUCCUUACCUUAUUUUGUAACUAUCACAUAAUUACAAUUCAGCCCCUCUAGUUUAAUUAAUUAUACUUGAUCACAAAAUUAAUUCUUAAUUAAUUAUUGACCAAUAUUAAUUAAACAAAUAUGAUUUCUCCUUUAAUAUAUUAUUCUUAUAACAUAUUAAUAAAUCAUAAUAACCUCUCUCUCUUUAUUUAUUUCUCCAAUCAAGUUGCUUUGGUGAAGGCAACCCAAAAGGACCAUGCACCAUCGGGUCAAGUACAUACCAAAAUAGUUAUGGACUUAGACACUAAUCCAACAGUCUCCCACUUGGAUAAGUCUAACAACUAUUCUGCGUAUGACUUCGGAUCCCGAUCUGCAAUCGUAGCUUUCCAAAGCCGCUGUCAACUCUGAUCAUAUCAAAUACGCGUGUCCUUAGAUAAGGGAUCAUAUAUUCCUCCAUUCUAGAUAUCAUAUGAGAUAUGAUUUCAAAUCAUUCUCUUUGUACUAUAUCUCGAUUCCCGAUUUAUGACGACUGACUAAUUGAACAAAUCAAAUUAGCCCUAGCCCGGCCGAGCAUUUACGUUUGUCAUCACUAAAUCAUCGAGGGGCCCAAAGAUAUCGCUUUUAUCCUACUUUGGAUAAAAGGAACGGAUAAACUUUGAUACAAUGCUUGCUUGCACUCACUCACCGAAUCACACACAACAAUAUGUUUUAUAACACCAAGUUACUAGUGCGUUUACAUAUUAUCAAUGUGCAACCGAUUUGCAAGAUACAACUCACACAUCUCGGUUUCAAGAAUAUAAGAUGUUAUCGUCUCACCAAUCACUCGUGAUACAAUUCAUGGAGUGAUCCAAGUGAGCGUGGGUUUAAUCCAAUGCUCAAAUCACAUUCAUAAGCACUCAUGAACGUUGCAGCAAACAUUUGCUUAUGUCUAAUACUCUUUUAGACAAUCCACACACCAAUUCACGACAGUCUUCAUUCAUAUCUACUUCCAACAUAUGAACGACUGUGGCCCGUUUGAAUAAUUCGAUUAUUCUUAAUAAACUCAAUUAUUCUGGAAGUCAAAACAUGCAAAUGUGAAACACAAGAAUAAUACUAAUCCCAUAUGGCCUCAAACCUUUGAGUAUAAAUAAAACACCUUUUAUUUAUCACCAUAUUGAUUACUCAUUAUUUGUCGUUUCGGGUAAUCAACUUCUUACUUGAAUUCCAACACUUGUCCCAUGCUCCUAGCAUGCACACAAUGUUUACCUAUGGUUCUUACUUUGUGAAAUAGAUCACAUUGAACACAUUUCCAAUCCUUCUCAUUUCACAACUCCAAAUCCGUUUUUCAUAAGUCAAAGAAUAUCAAAUUCUUGCUACUUAUAGAAUAUGCUAGAUUCUAACAUUCUAUGCAACUAUCCUUUCGUAAUGUCACUGCACCAAAGUCACAAAGACUAUUGCCAAUGAUAUUACAAAGUCCUCUAUCGGAGAUUGUUACAAGACAAUUCCAUAGACGUGAUGUCUCUCACUCAAAGUACAUUCUUUGAACAUCCUUUUGCAUAGAAGUUUCUAAUCUAGUCAUAGAUUUCUCAAUAUUCAAUUCCCAAUAUGGACACACUUCCAUAUGUUCCAUAUGACAACUCAUUCUUAAUAGAAUCUUAUCUAUUCGUAAUGAUGUCGAUAUGGUCCAUCCAAUAUGGAAACAUUUCCAUAUUUUCCAAUACUAUACUUCCAACUACUCACAAGCGACCAAUCCUCGUCGAACUUUGGAUUGUCCUUUGAUAGUUGUUUAAUUAUUUUAGUCAAAACCAAUUCUAGUCCCUUUUCCCUCUAAAUGCGCUCGACAUUUGGAAAAUUUUAGAAUGGUCAAACAUUAAAGCAUUUGCAAUCGAUCCUAUACCCGAAGCGUAUGGGACACGACGCAUAAUGUUUUAUUUGCUAUGUUCUCAAAAUUCGAAUUGUGAAGAGGAAUGCCGUAAUCAUAAUCGAAAUUUUAAGAACACACUAUGUACCUUUGACUAAAUUUAUUAACAUUUCUCAACCUAAGCCUUUAGAUUUGAAAUGAAGCAUAAUAUUCUCUCCCUUAAUUAUAGCAAAACAACUUUUCAACCCUUACAACUUUGCAAAGUAUGACUCUUGUUUUCUAUAAUUAAUAUUGCCAACUUGCAAUACUUUCCUUAAUAAUCAUACAAUCAUAACAUUUAUGCUCCCACUAUCAUGAUGAUUAUUAUAAAACAUAACACUUAUGCUCCCACUAGCUUCGACAUGUAUUCAUAAACAUCUUAACUUUCAGAAAAACAAUACUUAUUGAAUUUCUUAAGUUCAUGUUUCUAAUACUUAGUGCUUUGAUAAUCUUUUAUCAAGGCUUCUUGAACUUAUACACCUUUGCCUUCGAUAGUUCAUAUGUGUGUCUAAACAAUUAAGACUAAUUGCCAAACCUCACAAUUCAAAUUAUGGAAAGGGAUACCGUAACCAUAAUCGAAUUCGAGAAUGCAAUUUUACAAUCACUAUCUUCUUAAAAUCUUUCUUAGUGAAAGCAUUUCCUCACAAUCAUUUUCAUGAAGGAGGAAAUCUUAUGACACUUAGAUUUAAACGGUGUAUGUGUUCCUAUCCAUGUGAAUUUGUUAAAACCAAAGUUUACGACAAAUUCAAACUCAUAUGGACCGAACUUUCUUAAUCUUGAUUUCUUGCCUUAUGGUAGCACAGCUGCCCACCAUGUCUUCCAAGUAGUUAAGCAGCUCACCCUUUCCUAUCAAUGUACCUUUCAUUGAUUAAGGUGCUUUGCCUUUUAUGCGUUCAAAAUGAGAACUCAUAGAACUCACAUGCAUAAUUAACUCGAUUGGAUUGGCACAGAAACAAAAUAAUGUCAACACGAUAGGUUGUAAACCUCAACUCGUGUGCUAGUGAUGAUCGAUAAGGUUUUUUUGAUUUGUUCUUGAAACCUUUCAAGACCAUUAAGACUCCCACUGACUCCUUGACAUAUAAGAUUCUCUUGUCAAUAAACAUUUCUUGACAAACAAAUAUUCAAGAGUUAGUGUAGCUUUUAUCAAAACACUUCAUAAAUUGGUCCUAGUUGGUCUUUGUCUUAUCCAAGACAUCACAACUUUCCACAUUUGAUGAAUGUUAUAAACCUUCUUAAUACUUUUCACUCAAUGUCACAAUCUUAACUCUAAGACUUGUUUUGGAACGAAGUAUGAUUGACUUCUUGAUUUAACCAUUUCUUCAAUUCUUGAUUCCUCUUCUUAGACAUACAAUUGUACUAAGACUCACUUAGAGGAUCAAUUGAGAUAUGGUUCUUAAUCAUUAAGACCUAUCAUAAAGCAUAAAAGGUACUCUCCCUUCUUCUUAGAAUGGAGAAACUUUUAUCUUUCUGCCUACUUGAUUCUUCUUAUUCGUUCUGCUAUUGAUUUAAACUUUUUCAAUCAAUUCAGAAUUACACUUAAUCUUGUAAGUAUAAUCAUAUUUACUAAACCUUUAGUAAAUCAUGACGAAUAUCUUUGUUACUCUUAUGGUGGACUUGAUCAACACGCAACUUUGUGUACUCGAUCUCCUAGUCCUUCACUUGACACUUUGUCAAUGAAUUAGUCUAAUUUCCAAAUAUGAAAUUUCUCAUUCAUCGUGCAACCAAGUUGCAUGAUUCCAAGUUUCUGUCCAAUUGAAACUUGGGCGAUGAGAAACUCUCCCUAUUUGGUAAACUCUCGACUUUCCAUAAAUAACAUAAUAAGAACCAAAUCCAUUAUUGCUAAUAAUAGAAACAUUCAAACAUCAAUUUUUCAUAUACGCCAUUGCAAGGAUAAAUAAAUAAUAUAAAAUCAAAAUUUAUUUUAUUGCGGAAAAAAUUUGUCCUUACAAUGCAAUUCAUUGAAAAACUAUGCUAAUACAUCUUUCUUAGCAAUCUAAUUCUAACUCUAAGUAGUAGCUCAAGAAUCUAAUCUUCGAGAAAUGCGAUCGAAAUCCAUUCCUUCACGGUUAGAUUCUGCUCACUUCUUCCCUUAAGCUUCCUUUCUUUUCUUCGAUCCUACAAAACAUCAAUUGUAAUCUUAUCACAUUAUGUAUUAAGAAUCUAGAAUAGAAGCUUAAAAGAGUUAGUUAAUGGAUUUUACCUAUAUUAGAGCCAUACGUUUCGACUCUCCCAUCUCUUAGAUCUCUUAGGUAAAUGGGGCAGCUUCGUCUCCAAUGCCCUUUCUCUUGGCAAUAAAAGCAAAUUGACUCUUUUGGAACAUGACAUGGAACUACUUCAGACAUUGCCUUUCUCUUAUGAUCAAACUUUUCGAUCAUAGCAUGUCUUUCGUUGCCAUUGUCUAUAUCCAUAGAGGUCUUGAAGGCAGAUUCACCAAUCAACUUUGCUUUUCUAUUGCGCCAAACCAUUGCUGAUUCAGCAGCAAUAAGCAUAUAGGUGAGAUCUAUAAGGGUCACGUCGCGGUUCAUCAUAUAGUACUCUCUUACGAACUCACUAUAUGAGUUAGGAAGUGACUGAAGAACCCAAUCAACAGCCAUUUCCUCACAGACAACGGAUCCCAACAUUCUUAACCUAUCAAUGUGUGACUUCAUCCCUAGGACGUGUGCACACACCGACUUUCCUUCUUUAUGUUUACUUGCCAAAAGGGCUUGAGUGAUCUUGAACUUUUCAAGCCUUUGAACUUGUGGGUUAGGGAGAAUAAUUGGAGGAGGAGGAGGAAGUGAAGCAUGAUUUCUUGUUCCUCGAUCGAAUCGUGGAAUAUCAUCUUCAUGUGGAAUGCUUGUUCCACGGGAUUUGGGAAGACCAUAGUUGUCGAACUUUGACAUCUACAAAACGGGAGAAAACGAAUUCAAGUUAGUUGAUUGAUUGAGUCCUUAGUAAAUCACCCAAAUGAGAUACUAAGGCUAGGACCCAACACAAUAUUCUACAACUCGGGAGAGGGAUGCCGUAACCCUAAUUGCAGAAUAUUUGAAGGUAAGUGAAUGACGAUUCACUAAUUUCCACCAUGAAAAACGAAAAAGAAAUUUAAGUUUUAAAUCUAUGAAAACUCCUAGAUCCUUUGAGAUUCAUUGAACUUUCAAUGGCAUGUUUAAAUCUCGAUAUGCCCCUCUUGUUUGUGACUGGGAUGCCGAGGAUCACAAAGCGGGUGUGAAUAACCAUGCAAACUUACAUGGUGCCCUCACAUGUUACAGUCACCUAUUCGAUGUGCCGGUAAACCACACACGCUCCACCGAACUAUGACAAACAUUGAGUCACCCUUUGCUACCUUUGCUUAGAACCAUUUAGUGUGCCGGUUAACCACACACGCUCCACUAACGUCUUCGCAAGGGCACAAAGUGUAAUUUCAUGGAAUUGCAUCAAUUCACUUUUGCCUAAGUAACUAAGAUUGGGAAUUUUAUGAAAACAUUUAGUUACUUUAAUAAUUCAUUAUACUUAUAAUGGAAGGUUUCGUCCUAUCCUACCCGUUCGGCUAACGACCCUCCACUAGUCAAGAGUGCGGUGGGUAAGAGUGGAUACCCAUUCAAUCGCCAUUUUAUAGGCAAUUUCCUUAAACACCCCUUAUAGACCAGCUUCGUGAAUGAGGCCUACUAACGGUAAGACUGACUUUUACUCAUACAUAUAUAUAAUGUUAGACUUUUAAUGUUAUAUAUAGUAUAGGGUGUAUUUUAUACUUUUAAAAUACUAGGUGGUCUAAUUUAACAAUUAUACUUUUAAUUCAAUUAAAUUGUAAACCUAAACUUUUAUGGAUUUAUUAAACUUCUUUUAAUUAUACACCUUAAUUAAUUAAUAAAACCAUAAGGGUGUGAUUUGAACUUUUUCAAAACUAUACUAGAGUUUUAGAAUUUAACAUUCCUAAUUAAACUUUUAAUCAACUUUUAAAUUCCAAAACUUGAGGGCAAGUUUUGAAACAUUUCAACACAUUAGGGUUUAGAAUUUAAAUAUGCAUCAAAAUUAAACUAUUUAAUCAAAAUUUAAAUUCCAAAACUUGAGGGCAAGUUUUGAAACCUUUUUCAAAACAUUAGGGUUUCAACUAUUUAAAUUUCAAAACAACAAAACUUUUGGGGUUCAAAUUUAAACUAUAAAACCUAAAGGGCCAAAUAUGAAACUUUUCACAACAACAAGGAUCAAAUAACAAAUAAUUCAAAUUAACAUUUAAUCACAUAAUUAUCCAUAUUUGAUGAUUUCUUGCAAAAUAAUUUAUCAAUUUACUUAAAAUAAUUAAUCAAUUAUCUUAUAAGGAAACAAUUAUCUUAUUAAUUGAUAAAUAUCUUCAAUUAGAUUAAAAAUAUAGUCAAAUAUAUCAUAUAAUCGGAUUAAUAUUAAUCUAACAUGAUAAGGUAAUUAUCCCAAUGCAAAAACAGCAAGAAAUCCCGAGAUAAGCACUGUCUGACGCACCGACUCGCCGAGUCACCCUCUGGAACUCGCCGAGUAGGGCUGACUCGCCGAGUCCAAGAGUGACUCGCCGAGUCAGGUCGAACAGUGAGGCCAAAACACGAUUUUCAGUUACAUCAAGCAUCAAUACAAUAGAAACCAAUCAUGGCUCUGAUACCACUGAUGGGUUUUGGUCAUAAGACAUCCUAUGUGCUCAUACAAACCCUAAAGCUUGGAUCUAGGUUUCUCUAUUGUACAUACUUUGAAUCCAAGACUUUGAACCCUAAUUCUAGCAUAUGGAAAUCAGAAUUCACAUGUAAUUAGGUUUAAGAACAUACCUUGAUUGUUAUAUAGCAAUAACAAUCCAAUUCCUCCUUGAAUUGACCUUGGAAAGCUGAGAGUCACAAGUGUCACUCCUCUAAUGGCUUACAAACACCAUAAGCAAGUGGAGAAGGUAUAAAGAGAGAGGAGGGAGGUUAGAAUUCGUCCUUAGGACCUCUUGGGAAGGGUUAGACGAAUUCCUAAGCCCUAGGGGGUUUAUAU
rnacentral:lncRNA from 1 species